AUCUCUCUCCUUCUCCUUCCCCGUGUCUUCCCUCUCUCUCUCUUCCCUCACGAUCUCUCCCUCUUAGUCUCUCUUCCUCUCCAAAUUGUACGGACAGAUCCCAAAACCCUUCCAAACUUUGUGGAUCGACGAUCUUGAGGACACCAAUGGACUCCUGAAGACUUCACGAAUGCACUGACACCACUUUCAGCUUGUAGGAAGCUUGGUGAAGUCCUAAGGAAGCUCGGAGUGCUUCAUUUGGAAGAAUUGGACGUCGAGAUCACCUAGUUCGAGUUUGGCCGAUUUUCUUGGAUUUUUGGAAGUUGUUUCGCAUAUAGGUGAGACGUAUCCCGAGGACGACCGCAUCCAGGGACGCCACGGGGGUUACGACCCGUCGACUUAUCAGUGAAUGGGCAGUUUUGCUUUCGUAUUACCUUUAUACUAUCGAUUUUUCCCAGAAAAAUGAAUUUAUAUGAAAAUAUGUUUUAAAAUGCCAUGCAUAGGAUUAUUUGAUGAAUAUGAAUUUCACAUGAGAUAUAUG